rnacentral:rRNA from 1 species
GGCCAAGGGAAAAGAUGUUAGAAUCAGAGUUAUUUUGGAAUGCAUCAGUUGUGUUCGAAAAGGUGCCAAUGAGGAAUCGACGGGGAUUUCUAGAUAUAGUACUCAAAAGAAUCGCCACAAUACACCCGGACAAUUAGAAUUCAAAAAAUUUGUCGUUAUUGUCGCAAGCAUACGACUCAUCACGAAAUAAAGAAAUAGGAACAUCGUGUGUUCGAUCUUUCCAAACAACAGAAAGAGUAAGAACUUCAUAUUUAAUAUAUAAAGAAAACAUAGUAUAGAAUACAAAAUACAAAUCAACUCAUCCGAUUUCCGGUAGAUAUUAUUUCAUAUGUAUAGAGGGUAUUCAUAUACUAUAAUAUGAAUCAAAUAAGAUAUGGAUCAAAGAAAAACUACUUCUUCUGGAUCCUAAAUUAAUAAAAUAAAGAAGUGAAUUUUCAAAUUUUCAAAUUUUAAAUAAGGAAUAAAUCAUGUAUACAUCUAAACAACCUUUUCUUAAAUCUAAGCAACCCUUUAGUAAAUCCAAGCAAACUUUUAAUAAAUCCAAGCAACCCUUUCGUAAAUCCAAGCAAACUUUUCGUAAAUUCAAGCAACCUUUUCGUAAAUCUAAACAACCUUUUCGUAGGCGUCCCCGGAUUGGCCCGGGAGAUCGAAUUGAUUAUAGAAACAUGAGUUUAAUUAAUAGAUUUAUUAGUGAACAAGGAAAAAUAUUAUCGAGACGAAUAAAUAGAUUAACCUUGAAACAACAACGAUUAAUUACUCUUGCUAUAAAACAGGCUCGUAUUUUAUCUUUCUUACCGUUUCGUAACUAUGAGAACGAAAAGCAAUUUCAAGCCCAGUCAAUUUCAAUAAUUACAGGUUCUAGACCCAGAAAAAAUAGACAUAUUCCUCAAUUAACGCAAAAGUACAAUUCCAAUCGAAACUUAAGAAACAACAACCAAAAUUUAAGAAACAACAACCGGAACUUAAGUUCCGAUUGUUGAUGUUUUAUUCGAAUUCGAAAGGGCCAGACCUAUAUAUAUUAUAAAGAAAGUAAUCCAGCUCGUUGAUUCCUACCACUUAAUCUUAAUUUAUUGUAUCUUCCCGGAGUUCCCUCUCCGGGAAUUCAUC